rnacentral:rRNA from 1 species
UACGUAGGGUGCGAGCGUUAAUCGGAAUUACUGGGCGUAAAGUGUGCGCAGGCGGCUUGGCAAGUCGAGUGUGAAAUCCCCGGGCUUAACUUGGGAAUUGCGCUCGAAACCACCUGGCUAGAGUCCGGAAGAGGAGAGUGGAAUUCCUGGUGUAGCGGUGAAAUGCGCAGAUAUCAGGAAGAACACCCGUGGCGAAGGCGGCUCUCUGGGACGGUACUGACGCUGAGACGCGAAAGCGUGGGGAGCGAACAGG